UGGGGAAUAUUGCACAAUGGGCGCAAGCCUGAUGCAGCCAUGCCGCGUGUGUGAAGAAGGCCUUCGGGUUGUAAAGCACUUUCAGCGAGGAGGAAGGUGGUGAGCUUAAUACGCUCAUCAAUUGACGUUACUCGCAGAAGAAGCACCGGCUAACUCCGUGCCAGCAGCCGCGGUAAUACGGAGGGUGCAAGCGUUAAUCGGAAUUACUGGGCGUAAAGCGCACGCAGGCGGUUUGUUAAGUCAGAUGUGAAAUCCCCGGGCUCAACCUGGGAACUGCAUUUGAAACUGGCAAGCUAGAGUCUCGUAGAGGGGGGUAGAAUUCCAGGUGUAGCGGUGAAAUGCGUAGAGAUCUGGAGGAAUACCGGUGGCGAAGGCGGCCCCCUGGACGAAGACUGACGCUCAGGUGCGAAAGCGUGGGGCAGCAAACAGGAUUAGAUACCCUGGUAGUCCACGCUGUAAAACGAUGUCGAUUUUGGAGGUUGUGCCCUUGAGGCGUGGCUUCCGGAGCUAACGCGUUAAAGUCGACCGCCU
rnacentral:rRNA from 1 species